UGCAGUUGCCAUGGCAGCUUAGCCGUUAGUGGGUCAGGUGGCGAAAGCAGAGGCCUACCCCCGCCAGCCGUUGCUGUCAGGCCCCCUCUCGCUCUCUGGUUCAGGAGAACGUCUCUAGAAGAGCGUCAAUUUGGGGCUGGAUAUUGUAAAUCUUGAUCCAAGGAACAGUCUCCAGAUGGAGAAUGGAUAGAAUUUCUCCUCCUUCUCUUGCACUAGGAGUAAGUGAGCGUCGCUAGAAGCAUCCAGAUAUGAAGGCUUCAAAUCCUACCUAAACUGCAGCCCAAUCUCUGAAAGCAACUUUGCUCAAUUGCAGCCUGACUAGAGGGAGGUAUCAGAGCCACAACAAAUGGAAUGAAACCUACCACUACCACCUGCCUGGCACGAAGAAAUAAUUUACAAUUCACGGGGAAUUUCCUGUGUUUCAUUUUGUCUGAAGAACUGUAACCCGACUUGAAUGAACUAAGUGUCUAAUUGUUGCAUUAUUUUUCUUGUAGAGAUUUUAGUGUUUUAUUACUUUCUCCAGUUUACCUCAAUAGUGAAUUAAGUUCCCUCUACCAUCUGAAAUGUUACAGUUCGAUAAAAUAGGUAAAUUAAUAAAGUCUAAAGUGCUUCCA